GUGUCAGCAGCCGCGGUAAUACGAAGGAUCCAAGCGUUAUCCGGAUUCAUUAGGUUUAAAGGGUGCGUAGGCGGUUUUGUAAGUCAGUGGUGAAAUCUCUCAGCUUAACUGAGAAACUGCCAUUGAUACUGCAGAACUAGAGUACAGAUGACGUUGGCGGAAUGUGUCAUGUAGCGGUGAAAUGCAUAGAUAUGACACAGAACACCGAUUGCGAAGGCAGCUGACGAAACUGCAACUGACGCUGAUGCACGAAAGUGCGGGGAUCAAACAGGAUUAGAUACCCCUGUAGUCC
rnacentral:rRNA from 1 species